UACGGAGGGUGCAAGCGUUAUCCGGAUUCACUGGGUUUAAAGGGUGCGUAGGCGGACAGGUAAGUCAGUGGUGAAAUCUCUGGGCUUAACCCAGAAACUGCCGUUGAUACUAUUUGUCUUGAAUAUCCAGGAGGUAGGCGGAAUAUGUCAUGUAGCGGUGAAAUGCUUAGAUAUGACAUAGAACACCGAUAGCGAAGGCAGCUUACUACAGGAUGAUUGACGCUGAGGCACGAAAGCGUGGGGAGCAAACAGG
rnacentral:rRNA from 1 species